CGCUCCACUCCAGCCUCGUGGCCCUCGCGAUUCACUUGCGCCCGGUGUUUUCCGACUUUCGUGUAUGUUGUCUUUGGUCACUUUUUCAUCUCAGAUUUGCUGGUCUACCUCUGGCGCUGGGAUGAACAAGUGAGGUCAAAAGGGCGUUUCAACAACCGGUGUUGAACGGAAGUGAAAGUGAUCGCGAAGUCAUUCGGCCCCGUGUGGCUGAUUUGACUGUUUUUGCACCCGUACUUGUGUCAUCUGUAACCGUUCCACUCGGCUGCCCGCCCCACCGUGGCUUUGUGCGCCCCUCGGGUUUUGAUUCCGACUUUCGCGUAUGUUCUUUUGCUCACUUUUUCACCUCAGGUUUACUGGUUAAUCUCCAGUUCUGGGACGAACAAGUGAGGCAAACAAGGCGUUUGUCCUUGUUGAACGGGACUGAAGCGAGCCCAGUCAUGCGGCCCCCGCUGUCCUACAGGCGCCGGCUCGCCCCGCCCCGCCGCGGCAGCUCUUAUUUUGACCCUUUUGACUGGAGGCAGAAGCCGUUUGGUGCCCGGUGCUGCCCCGGCUCGCCUGGCGCGGAUGCGAUAUAUGGUGAGCGAUAUAACCGGGCUGCCUGACCGUCGUCUGCGCCAGGGAGGGUGGUUGCGCACCGUGUUUUGUUUUGUUCUCUCCGUCCUUGUCGCACUCCGCUGCCACCAUGAGGGAGAGGGCACGCGUAAACACAGUGUGGGAUCGCCCUGCAGAUCUGUGGGCCUCGCUCGGCAUUCAAACGUCUUGUACUUCGAGCCUGUUUGGUCGGCACCGAUGUUUCGGUGUCCCUAGCUAGCGGCCACGUCGCGCCCGUGCGCUCGCGUAGAGCUCGCACAGGGAAUGACCUCUGUGCCCCGUGCAGUCUGACACUGUUACGCCCAAAGCAUUCUUUCGCGAAACGCGUGGUCUGCGCCCGCGGACCACAGCCCGGCCCCUUCGGUUUGUUUGUCCCCUCGUGUGCAUCGCCAGCAAGAGGAGCCCACGACGUGUCCUCCGGCCGCCGAUGCCCCGCCCCGUCCAAGCCGACUUCAACCGCAUCCACCUGGGCGAGCGCUGAGGCGGUGGCAUGGUCGCAGCUCAUGCCGCUGCCAACAAGGUAGGCCUCGUCUUUCGCCGCUAGAGUUUGUGUACAAUCGCUUUUUGUUUGGUCGCUCCACUUGUUCAGAUCUCUCUCACAGCCGAGUAUGGCGCCCUGUUACCCAAAGCCCAGUACGGCACUUAAUUUCUUUAUAUAAAGUUUCAGGUCUACUUAGCGAUACGUAACUUUGUUAGGGGGCUACAACUUCCAAAGGGUACUCAUCUCAAAUACACAACAAAGCUCAUUAAUGACUGCAUUGACAUUGUCGAACAAUGCUCUCAAGUCCUUUCGCGCCGUUUUGCUGCAGUCCGUGUUCAUUUUCCGCGAUCGCUCGGCGAUGUUUAACAGCUCACGUCGGGAUCGGAAGUUUAAUAGGGUAUUUCACCUGACCCAAACCAGAUCCAAAGAAGAACAAGAGUUCUUCCUGAACUCUUUCCUCGUUGGCGCUCAUUGGCUGAUGCCGACGAAGUUCUCGGACCGGACACUAGGGGUCGACCGCCCUUGCGGCCAGCUCAUGAACUUCGUCGGCGUCAGCCAAUCAGAGCAAGGGAGGAAAGAGUUCAGGAAGAACUCUUGUUUUUCUUUGAAUCCGGUUUGCGUCAGGUGAAGUACCCUAUUGUAUUUUCAUUUAACUUAAAGAUUUCAUCAACCGCGAUAUCAUUUAAUUUAAAUUUUAUCCACCGCGAUAUCAUUUAAAGUUUUAUCAACCGCGAUUUAUUAUAACCUAUUUUAAAUUUCAUAACUUUACGAAGACUUUGGGGAACAUUCUUCACUCCUCAAGGUCAGUCGUGUGUCCCAUUAGAUCGUCGUUAUGCUUUGUUUUGAGCCUAAUUUCUUAUAUAUUGUCCUAGCACUAGAGCCAGGCCCCCGCUGCUGUUUGACUCCGUCUCGACUCGGACGCAGCCCUAGGGCUAAGCAGGUGUGUCGCUGCGAGCGAGCUGUCUGCCCAAGCCCGCCGCCUUGUGCUGCUGAGCUACAGCGUUGACUUUAUGGGACUACCGAUCUACUGUUCCAGCUGAGAGUCGACAUCUCAACUUUGCCGUGAUGAGCCCUUCCCGCCUGGACUCUGCGUCGCUGAUGGCCGUGGUCAGCAGACUGCACAGCUGCCGCGGCCGUCGAGACCUCAGCCGCCUUCUCUGCUCUGGACUCCACCCUGGGAGAGCGCGGCCUCGUCGCCGCGGAGGGCCGCUCACGUGUCUUCAAGGUCGUCUACAAAGUAACCGUGAGGCACGCCUGCACUCGUCAGCUGCAGCAGCCGCCCGCCCCGCGCCCCCACCGGGGCCUCCGCGGGACAUCCUCUAGCCAACGUUUCAGCUCCAGUGGAACGAAUUUCAGUUAAUUUGCUAUGUUGAGAUAUGCUCGUUUCUCCAGUUGCUUUUCCAGUUCCAGGCGAGUUCCAGUACCACCCCUGUCAGCAGGAAUUCAGUGCGGUCAGCGGGGACAUCUCGACUCCAGGACCCCCGUCAACAAUCAACCCACUUCGGUCAGCUAAGGUAUCUCGACUCCAAUCGGAUCUCCAGGACUCUCCAACCUGAUAUUGGACUCCGCUUCUAACUCUGCUUUGCUGUCUCAGGGUAACCAUAAAAGGUUCAUUCUUGGUGACCAUGCCGACAGUUCCCACUACUCUAAUUUGGUGCGAAAUUAUCUGGAACCUGCCACACUUUGGAUGGAUUGGCUGCAAUAAUGUCAGAUAAUAAAUACCUUCAAUAUAUCCAGUUCGAGGCCAGUUCCAGUUCCACCCCCUGUCAUCAGGAACUCACUGCGGCCAGCGAAGACAUCUCAACCCUGAUACUUGCAAGACCUCCAGGACUACACCCCGACAUUGCUUCCUGCUUCUAACUCUGCUUUGCUGUCUCCAAGAAUAACCAGAAAAGGUUAUUUCAAUGCUCUGCUCUGCCACCGUGGAAUCCUUCUAUCUCCAAAUUUCAAGACACGCGAUUUAUUGUUCACCUUAAAUUAUUCUCUUACAUUGAGCAUUUAAGUAUAGUCAGAGUGUUUGCAUAUCAAUCUGUCCUUAUCUUUGAGUGCAGCAAGGUGUUUAUUUUCUGUACUUUGUGAAAUACGUUUGUAGCAUAUUAAUCUCUCUCAACUGUUGGACUUGCUCUUCUUGACUGACUCCCCUUCUUUGUACAUCUUUGAGCAUGAUCACCUACUUUGUUGGUUGUAGUUUUUGAAUUUAUUUUUUAGUUUGUUGCAUGUUAGUGGUUGUGAAUGUGGGGUCUAGUGUAAAUUCCAUGUGGUGUACCUCUCCUCUAUGGCAUAACAAACUAGACAGUUCCACUUCUUUCUUCUGCGCACUUAAAUAAUAUGCUCAAACAUAUUUCAUCCAAUUUAAAUUAUAAGCUAUGCACUUUUCUGGAAUUAAAUUAUUUAUUACUUUCUAUAUGUUAAGUACUGUGUCACCACUUCAGAGGCAAUUUUAGUUCUAGUUUUGUUUCUUUAACUUGUGGUGUGGAUUUUUAGCCAGUUGCAGGCUCAAACUUAUUGUGAAGGCCUCUUCCUUCGUUAUUGCCAUUUUGAUAAUUGCACUCUGCCCUCAUACUUGAUUUAGCUAGGCUUGGUAUUUUUUAUUCUAAUAACCCGUUUGUUAGCAGUUUUGGUAUUGUUAUUAUCAAAGGCCAAGAUUAGACAUUAUUGCCUUGUUAAUUAACUUGCUUCAUUUUACGGGAUUCCUAAACUUCUAGCAAUGUUCAGCCGUUUUCUAGGCAAAAGGCCGCAAUCCAUAGGGUUGCUUAUUUAACAAUUUUGUAUUGACUUGCUAUCUUUUUUUUCAAAAAGGAAAGAUGUGCUACUCUGAUAGUUGUAUCCCCGGCAGAGCGCGCCCCACAGCAGUCCUUUUCCUGUUGCCCUCACUUAUUGUGCCUGCCACUUCUGGCUUGGCUUUGAAGCAUUAAACUUUGUUCUCUAAAGCGGUCUCUUGUACUUCUAUAAUAUAUACUGUUCCACCCUCUGCCAAGUAUUGCUAGCAUUUGCAGUUGGUAUUUUAUUUGUCGAGGGAAUGACCUGUUUGUUCAACCCAGUGUGGGCUAAGCCCCCUGCAAAUCACAGGGCAGAAUUAUGAACUAUCUCUGGAGUCAUAGUUUUAAAGAUUAAUCAGAAUGGUGAGACUAGUAUUUACAAAAGUUUAAUAUGUCACAGCAAUUGAUUGAAUAAAAGCAAAGAGAAUUGCACGGCCCAGCUGCAUGCACUGUGAAUGUAAGACAAAAAUAAAGUUUGCGUGGAAAUGAC